CGGGCAGGGGGGCGGCUGCCCCGGGCCUGUGCGGAGCCUGCCCUGCCACAGCCCCUUUCUCCUUGGGAGGCGCGCUCCUCCGGGAGCGGCUGCUUGCUGCGGAUGUUGGGCAACAGGCAGCGCUAGAAAGGGACCAGAGAUUCCGGGGUGGGCCCGUCUCCACAUCCUUCCCCUCAGGCCUGUGCCCCACUCCCUAGAGCAGGGACCCUGCUCCCUUCCUGCCUCCUGACAAGGCGCUGGCGCCUGAGGGUGCGACCUGCACAGCUGGUUAAGGGUCCUGUGCAUGUGCUUGACCCCCACCUCCUAGUGUGAGUCAGGUUUUGGCCUUGGGGCUCGUCCUUUCCAGUCUUUCCAUUCUUGUCCUCCAUCAUCCCCCCCCCCAACCUUAUCCAGCCCGAAAUCUCUUGGGGAGUUGAAGGGAGGAGGUCCAUUUUCAGGAGCUGCUCCCUGCUGGAGUGGCAUGUAGAGCUGGCCCUGCCUCCAAGGGCCCGGGAGAUGGUCUCCCUGACACUCGUCCCUGAGCUGCUUGUUGGUGGUGAUACCGGAAUUGUCAGGUCUAGUCUCCCAGCCAGGAAUGGAUUCCAGGCUGCAGGGCAGCGCUAAGCCCCAGCCACUAGACCCCCCACGGGUUGGUGUCUCAGGAAGCUGCAGCAGGAACUUCGCAGACGCUCAGGCAAGCAAGCGAGAAGAGGCAGGUUCUUUAUAGAAAGAAAAAGUUUAUUGAGGAGAAAAGGAGCAGAAAUAAAGCUGGACUCCCAGGCCAGGGAACCAGGACAGGGAGGGGCAAGGAAGCCCAUGUGGAGUCGUGUCUCAGGGAAUAUAGACCUUUUUUCCCUCAUUAUUCUAAAGCUUCACCCGUCUCUCUGUGAUGGGUCAGUUCUCGGCUGUCUCACUUCAUCUGCUACUGAGCGGGGAUCUUCACAUUCCUUACCUAACAGCUUUCUCUUUCCCCAUUUGUUGCAUCUUUAAAUUUAUGGCCCAGUCCUCUGGAUGGGCUUCCCUGCAUUGAAGCUAAACAGCUGCCCUUCUAAUGUGUCCAUAAAUUAAACCACUCUCCAUUUCUCCAAUCUCCACCUCCCUUUACCACCAGGACUAGCAUUAACAAUGUUGUCCUUGGUCCUGGGAUGUUUGUUUUUCCUAGUGGAAUGGGUUACAUUCCCUUGGUUGUCCUUAUCUCUGAAGUCUCCCUAAAUUCUUCUGAGGUCCCCUCCUGCACUGUCCCUAAAACUACCUAAUUUCUAGCUUGCCCUGUGUCUCAGUGGUUCUGGAAGGAGGCGAGGGUGGGGCAUCUGGACAGGCUGUUCCUCUUGUAGGGGUGAGCUGUUUGUUGGGAGGAGGAGUUUAACCUUGAGGCGCUCCCCCUCGGUUAGAAGAAACAAAUUUGAGUAGGAGAUUGUGUAUGUUACUAUUUGAAGAGGAGAAUGAGAAGUACAGCAGAGGCUAAGGGCCCUCGGUCACAGAGAUGUGCCCAUCGAAUUCUCACACAAGGAGCAGGAGGGCCUGGACCAGCUGCAGUGGAAUUUGUACAGGGACGUGAUGCUAGAGACCUACAGAAAUGUGGUGUCCUUGGGUCUUCUGUGUUUACGCCCGAGCUGGUCAUCUUGUUGGAGCAAAAAAAUGGAGCCAUGGGAUGUGAAGAGAAGUGCAGAUCCCGUCCUCCUCCCAGCACCAGUUACAGUCAGAAGCACGGGAGGGUGAGAAUUCACCAGAACAAGAGCGGAGAACAGAACAAGCAGACUGACAAAGAACACUGCUGAGGGGAGCAGCGGGCGCCAUGAGAGGUCUGCGCACCAUGUGGGACCCUCGCUGGCGACUGGAGAUCUAACCGGUGCUGCAGAGGCUGCGGGCAGCUUUGCGACCCAGCGCUCAACUGCUGCGCCACUGCAGAUGCAGUAUUCUCAGCCAUUUUAUACCCCAUUUCCAACCUACUGCAUCACUGUAUAUUUUUUGACCUUUUCUUAUAUGCUUUAAUUCCUCUCUCUUUUCUUGUUGGUGAUUUCCCUCCACUUUCACACAUUUUGAUGUUAAUGGAGGUAUAUUGGUUUGUAAUGUUAUUUACAAACAUUGUAAAGCAUUGUCAUCCAACCUUUGUACACAUCACAUCAGUCUCUGUUUUCAUUUGUUUUCCAUGUAUUUUACGGUAUCUUUUUCUCAUGGGGAUUCCAUAGCAUGUUGAAAAGUUAUGACAGUCUUUUCUAAAGUGAAAACCAUGUACAUUCAGCUGCAUACCAAAACUCCACUCUUUAACAUUUCUACCCCUACUGACAUCACAAAUUAUAUCUCAUGAUAUUUGUAUUCUAUAACAUGAAUCUAUGAUUUUUUUUUUGGUGCCAUAUUUCCAAAUUCUGAAGCAGAAACAAUAUUUUGACUAUAGGGUUAUAUCUGUAUUUGCUAUGUAUUUACCUUUCCCUAAGGACGUUACCUUGCAUAAGCCUGUGUGUUGCUGUCUAGUGCUGAUGUUAUCUAUACAAAGAUGAUGUCGGGGGUCUUUAUAUGGUAUUAAUUUUAUGUCUUAAAUAUUGAAAGUAUUUUGUCUUGAGUGCUGUUUGUGGGCUAGUUAUUCCUCGUUGUCUUCCUGCCCUGUCUUCUCAAGACAACCAGGUCUCCAUGCCACAGUCAGGCACAGAAGAUUUGUUGCUAACUGUGGGACUGGGAAGAGAUGGAAUCGGCACCUUUGAGAAUUUACAAUUAUUGAUAGACCAGACAUGUCAAGAGGCAUGAGAAGGGCAUAAGAGUUGUUGCAAUGAAGAUUCCAUAUCCAUAACUCAAUUCCUCCUGUACAAAGUGAUCCUGUGUGUAAACCAUGUUGGGUCAAACUCCAUUUUAUGUCUGUUGCAGGUAGAGAUAAAUAUGUUUCUGUUAGCAAAGAUCCAUGUGACAUUUUUCACGAGACACAAUCUCUGAGAAGAAUGUGGGAACAUAUGGGAAGUCCCCUAGUCCAUAAUGCAAAUGAUUAUUCAAAACAUUGUCAAUGUGGGAUAGAUUUAAACUUUCAGUGAUGUCAUUGUCAACAUCAGAUAAUUAGAAAGGAAGAUGAAAAAAAUCUAUACAGGAUCCUAUUGAGGAGUCCUCAAUACUUUUCUAGCAUCAUGUACUUCAUGAGAAACUCUACAAUUGUAAAGGAUAUGGCAAAGCUACCAAAUGGUGCCCAAGACUUACUGAACAUCAGAGAGGGAAACCUCACAAGUGAAGAGCAUGGUAAAGCCUUGUAUUGGCAUCCACAGCUGACUAACCAUCUCAGGAUUCAUGCUGGAGAAAAGCCUAUACGCGUUGACUGUAGUAACACCUUCCUGUGCUGUGUCACCUUUCCUGACAUUGGAGAGUUCAUACUGGGGAGAAACCUUACAGAUGUGAGGAAUGUGGGAAAGUCUUUAACCAACUGUCAGCCUUUAACUGUCUUAGUCAGCAUCACAGAAUUCAUACUGAGGAGAAACGUUACAAUUGUGAAGAUUGUGGCAAAGCCUUUAACAAUAAGUCAUGUCUUACUCAGCAUCAUAGAAUUCAUACUGGGGAGAAACCUUCAAGAUGUGAAGAAUGUAGGCAAAGCCUUCUACCAUCCAUCACUUUUAAGUCAACAUCACAGAAUUCAUACUGGGGAGAAACUUUGCAAAUGUGAAGAAUGUGGCAAAGCCUUUCACCGCAAGUCAAGUGUUAAUCUACAUUAGAGAAUUCACAUCAGAGAGAAAGGUUAAAACUGUGAAGUCAAUUUUUUUACUUUAGUCUCUUUUUUUCAAGAUUUAUUUUAUUAUGCAUGCAUGGGGUAUCUUCCAGAGGUGGGGGUGUGUGAGAGGAUUCAUCAGAGGCAGAGUGGGGAACAGAACUGGCGGAUUGACUGAAAUACACUGCUGAGGGGAGCAACAGGCGAGACAGGAGGGGUCUGCUGCACCAUGUGGGUAGCUCCCUCACCGGGAAUCCAGCUCGUACUGCAGUGGCUGCAUAUAGCUUCAUAGGUUGUGUCUUAACCCCUUGUGCCACCAGUGAGGUCCCAACUUUGGUGUCUUUAACCAGAAGUCCAGAAGUUUAACCAGAAGUGUCAAAGUGAUUAACCAGAAGUCAGAUUAUCAUAAACAUCAGAGAGUGCAAAGCAAGAGAAACUGUAAAUGGAAAGUGAUGAGUGGUUUGUCCAAAUAUGAAUUUUGAAACCACCAGAUUUUCAUACUGGAAACUUGAAAGAAGUGAAAAUAUGAUUAAAUGAUUUAUCAUGCAAUUUAGAUGCAUAUUAAGAUAUUGCAAGACAGUAGGAAGUGAGAAACACUUUACAUUCCUUAAGUCAGAAUAUUGUUAUGGAGCAUAAGCCAACAUUAAUGCACUAAAUAUUAGCAUAAUUGAAAAGUCCGAGGCCUUCCUGGUGGUGCAGAGGGUUAAGUCACAGCUCUUUGAAUCUCAGCAGCCACUGCAGCAUGAUUUGGUCCCUGGCCAGGGAGCUGACCACAUGGAACAGCAGACCUCUCUUGACUUACCUGCUGCUCCCCUCAGCAUUGUGUUUCAGUCAAUCUGCUUGUUCUACUCUGCACUCUGUCUUUGGGGAAUCCUCUCACCCCCUACACUUCUGGCCUACCCCUUGGUUCUUGUAUGCAUAAAUAAAUAAAAUCAAUCUUUAAAAAAAUAUAUAAGAGUUCAAGACGAUGGUUUGGGGACCUGUAUAGUUAUUUUCUUUGUCCUUUUUUUUUAUCAACCAUACUUGGGAUAUUGUGAAGAGACCUGAUGAAUAUAAUUCAGCCCUAAAUCACUCCACUCUAUGGCUUUCUCCUGGUAUGUACGUGGAGUCAUGUAUUUGACUUUCGUGGGUCAAACAUCGAAGGGAUCCUGUCCAGUUGAUGAGUUUCUUUACAUCUUAAUUGCUUGGGUACAUUUAUGAUGGUGUCCUGUAUCUUGAAUGAAGAAAAUCUAAAUGGAUCCAGAGGAGUCGUGGACUUCCUUGUGGGCAUAAAAGUUAGACAGAGAAACAUGCUGAAGUUCAACUCAUUUCAUCAUUUUCUCCUUCAGGGAAUAUACUAACAGUUUAUUAAUAUCCUCAUGUGUCUUCAUGGUAGUUAUGGAGCCAUGAAUAUUACUGGACGUUGUUGCCAAAAGAAAUCUUCACAAGCGUGUGAUGAAGGAGCAGGUGAGCUUUUCAUAACAGCGUGGAAUUCUUGUGCAUUCACAUUAGCUAAGCACAGCAUCUUUCUGUUGAACACCGACGCUGUGAUCCAGAUAUCAGAAGGUCAAGAUGCUUCUUAAAUACCUGAGUCUUGAUUUUGAUGAAAUGUGUCUUGGUAUCUGACUGUCUUAUUUAGACUAUAUGUGAACUUCUUAUGUAUA